rnacentral:tRNA from 1 species
GCCCCACUGGCCCAACGGCAGAGGCAGGCGACUUAAAAUCGCUCAAGGUCCGGGUUCGAAUCCCGGGUGGGGCACCA